CUACUCGCCCCUCCUCUCCGUGGCCAGCCACCAGUUACACAGGGGUUGCGUGCUCGGGGCAUUCACGGCGGAAUCUGCCUUGCAGAGAGAAUGGGAAGCCCAAGGCUUCGGUUAGCUGAGACAGCGGUGACACAGGUCAGGGAGACCUACAGCCUGACCCCUAGGUCUCUACGCCCCACGUAGACACGACCUAAAUCCCGCAGCCGUCUGGUCUGUCGCAAUUCCCCCCGGGAUCCGCCCCUGGGCGGGGCUGACAUCAGGCUGCUACAGUCCAGACAGAGGGACGGGAGAGCUGAUCCCGUUCCGGAUUUUUUCUCUGUUCCUCCCCCCGCAGUGCGUUCGCAUCCUAUUAGGCUACAUCACCAGGCUGCCCGCCAAUGGGCGGGCAGGACAACACGGCAUGGAGCAGCUCCACAUGGACACCCCGCGCCGCCAGCCUUCGGUUUAAAGGGCCAGUGUCUACGGGGUCGUAUUCGCGGGUGCGGAUAGGGCCACCGGGUGACGGUAGGGUGAGACACCUACAGGGGAAUUCCGCAGUCGUGCUCAGGCCCAUCCCCUGCUUUACAUCAACCCUCCCACUCAAAACCAGGUCUCCCUUCCCUUCUCCUAAAUUCUUUGUCCACCCGUUUCAGAUGGGGGAUGGGGACAAAAAGUGUGCCACUCCAGAGGGCAGCACCUCGUUGUUGGGUCCCGGUACCAGUAAUGAAAAAGAGAAGCAUCCGAAGCCCAGGCCAAGGAGGCGUGGCCUAAAUCGGGAACAACAACGUGGAGGGCGGAAGCCGCGCGCUACCCUGGCUGCCCGCUGGGCGCGGGGCGGGGUCGUUCACUGUGUUGGGCAGAAACCGCGCUCUCUCCUAAGCUCGCCAGUCAGCCUUUAUCUUGGCUACAGGGCUUAGGACGGUCCCUGGGUACAAUCAAAAAGAUCUUUGAAAUCAGCUGGCCCAAACCAUUGCACUUUGAAGAGUUGGAGCUGUGGGUGCAAGGGGAUGGAAGAAGCUGAUCCACUGGAAAGGCAGAGGAAAGCAUGAGGACUUCAGACAUGCCUUUGAAGGAAAAAGGAUGUGGCUUCCCGACUCAAUUAAUUCAGUUGAUAAUCUUCUUAAAAUAGCUCUGAGGCUGGAGAGGUGGCACAGAGAAGAGCAGAGCGAGCUGCUUUUGCAGAGGACUGAGUUCCUAGUAUGCACGUCCCGUAGCUCAUUCCGCUGCCAGCCUCUGAGGGCACCAACACUUACAGGCGCAGGCAGUCAGGCCCAACUGAAGAUCAAAAUCAGGGUCCUAUCACUAUCAAAGGAACAACCAGCUUGGCUCACAACACACUGGAGCCCGGGGACGAGCAAGCUGCCCAUACAGAAGCAGCACCGGCUGGCCUCAGGCGUGGUUGGUACUGAUAAUUCUUAUUUUCACAGCUUUCCUAAAACAGAUUAUUAGCCUUAUACUCAUAAUGGGGGAAGGGGAGGACAUCACAAUAUACUGCUAAGUAUGUUAUAAAAGUAUAUUAUACAAAGACUGACCCCACAGUUGUAUUUUACUACCUUUAGUUUGCAAAUAAAAGAGUGAAUUGCCAGGAUUCACAAUUAAGUAUGAUU